UCGAGUUCUCGUUAAACCUAUUUAAUUAAUUCAAUUUCAUAUCUCUAUUCAAAUUAAAUUUAAUUAAACGAAAUAACAAUUCUAAGAAUUUCUAUAGGACCGUAGCAAUCAAUAUGGGUAUCUCUACACGUUAUAUCGAUUUACCGGAUUUUAACAUGUGGUCUAAACAAAUAAUACACAUCUCUACGCAAUUAUUGUUCACAAAUCAUCUAAUUAGUGAUCAAAUAAUUAAAUGCAUUAAAAACAACAUUAAAAUCAACACAUAAAAUAUAAAAGCACUAGAAUCUUAAUUUAGCGAAGGAAAACACAAGUUUAUUAGGAAAUUCAUCACUGGUCAAUUGAUGGAACGUAAACAAUUUUCAAGACUGAAUCUAUCGUCUUUUGCCGUGCUCCGUGUGUUUUCUCCCUUUCUGUCUCUCCAAAAUCAGCGCCUCCUAUGUUUGCAUAGUCCCAGCCGGCAGCUUCUUUAAUUCCGCUCUGUCUCCUUUUUAAUUCCAACCACCGACCUCUCUCCCCAAAGCUUCCGUGUGGAAUAUAUGUAUGUAUAUAAAUUAUGGCAAUCGCAAUUUGAAUCCCAUGAACUCCCAAAGAUGUCGUUUUAUGCGUAUAUCUAUCUCCCAAUUCCCAAGCUGCUGACUUGCGUGAGAGAGAAUAUAAUUCAGCCGCCAAUUAAUUCUAGUCCUAUAUAUUAU
rnacentral:lncRNA from 1 species